AAUGAACGCUGGCGGUGUGCCUAACACAUGCAAGUCGAACGGAAGCACAGUAAUAUCGUGCGCUUACGGGUGGCGGAUGGCGUGCGGGUCACGAAUGUAUCGUAAUCUUCUCUUUCGGGGAAGUUAACGAAGGGAAGCUUACGCUCAUACCGCAUACGAUCUACGGGUGAAAGCAGUGGAUCUUCGGGCCUUUCGCGAUUGAAUUAGCCGCUUUGGGGCUAGCUAGUUGGGUGGGUAAAGACCCAGCCAGUCGACGAUCCGUAGCUGGUCUGAGAGGAUGGUAAGCCACACGGGAGGUGAGACACGGUCAAGACGCCUACGGGAGGCAGCAGUGGGGAAUAUUGGACAAUGGGCGCAAGCCUGACCCAGCGAUAGCGCGUGGGUGGAGAAAGCCUUCGGGUCGUAAAGCCCGUUUGUGGGGAAAGAAAAGCAGUAGGUUAAUACGCCGCUGUUGUGACGGUACCCAAUGAAGAAGCACCGGCUAACUUCGUG
rnacentral:rRNA from 1 species